rnacentral:rRNA from 1 species
ACUCCUACGGGAGGCAGCAGUGGGGAAUAUUGCACAAUGGGGGAAACCCUGAUGCAGCCAUGCCGCGUGUGUGAAGAAGGCCUUCGGGUUGUAAAGCACUUUCAGUAGGGAGGAAGGUAGUGUAGUUAACACCUGCACUAUUUGACGUUACCUACAGAAGAAGCACCGGCUAACUCCGUGCCAGCAGCCGCGGUAAUACGGAGGGUGCGAGCGUUAAUCGGAAUUACUGGGCGUAAAGCGCAUGCAGGCGGCCUGUUAAGUCAGAUGUGAAAGCCCGGGGCUUAACCUCGGAAUUGCAUUUGAAACUGGCAGGCUAGAGUCUUGUAGAGGGGUUAGAAUUUCAGGUGUAGCGGUGAAAUGCGUAGAGAUCUGAAGGAAUACCAGUGGCGAAGGCGGCCCCUGGACAAAGACUGACGCUCAGAUGCGAAAGCGUGGGAGCAAACAGGAUUAGAUACCCCGUGGUAGCACAGAG